CAGGAAACGACGGCCUACGUUCAUUACUUUAAUGAAGGACAGAUCUCUGGAAUGGAUAACAGAGGCUCAGAAAUCGGCAUACACUAUAAAAGAACGUGUUUCAGGAUUGAAAACGUCUUUAAAGGUGUUUCACUUUGACUGAUUACUGGUUCUGAGAUGAAGAAAUAUGAAUCGAGGAUUCAAAGAGGGUUUUCCUCUAAGCUGGAGCUGUGGCUGUGAUCUGGCAGUCAAACUCCGAUGAGUUCACGGCUGUCCUUCUACUGUGGUAUUUAGGCCAGACUACAGUGGUGCAUGUGGGAUGUCAGUUUAUGAGAAGGACAGGCAGCUGACCUAUGCAGAGCCUUUUGUGUAAGCAGUUAUAAUAAGUGGUAAGUAUUUUCUUGGCAAGUCUUUGUGUUUAGGAGAAAAGCUGGCCAAUAUUAACUCAGCAAGAAUAAAAGGACAACCGCAUUACUGCCUUGAAGCUCCAGGUUCUCCAGUUUGAUCAUGAACACAAGAUCUUAAUGUGUUGCUCUAAAACACCUCUGGUUUAAUCACACCCUACACACACAUGCUGGUGGGUGGAUUGACUAUUCUACCAUGUCCUGUGAUUGGCAUCCUAUCCACAGAGUAUUGAUCAACUCUGGUCAUUUAAAUGGAUGAAUGUUUAGAAUGACUCUGAGCUUGAUCAUCUUAAGGAUUAAACUGUACACCAACCUCUGCACCUGUCACUGGAAGGAUGCAUUUAAACAUACAUAUUUUUGUUUAUUCUUCCCUAAGGAGAGAAAACAGAAAAA